GAGGGUAUAGCUCAGUGGUAGAGUGUGUGCUUUGUGUGCACAAGGUCCUAGGUUCAAUCCCCAGUACCUCCA
rnacentral:tRNA from 1 species